rnacentral:rRNA from 1 species
UACGAAGGGUGCAAGCGUUAUUCGGAAUCACUGGGCGUAAAGGGUGCGUAGACGGUUUGUUAAGUUUGUCGUUAAAGACUCUAGCCUAACUGGAGGGUUGCGAUGAAAACUGGCAGACUAGAGGGUAAGAGAGAGAAGUGGAAUUCCUGGAGUAGCGGUAAAAUGCGUGGAUCUCAGGAGGAACACCAAUGGCGAAGGCAGCUUCUUGGCUUAUUCCUGACGUUGAGGCACGAAAGCGUGGGGAGCGAACAGG